rnacentral:rRNA from 1 species
UACGUAGGGUGCAAGCGUUAAUCGGAAUUACUGGGCGUAAAGCGCGCGCAGGCGGUUUUUCAAGUCAGUGGUGAAAGCCCGGAGCUCAACUCCGGAACUGCCAUUGAAACUGUGAAACUUGAGGAUGAGAGAGGUGAGUGGAAUUCCCAGUGUAGAGGUGAAAUUCGUAGAUAUUGGGAAGAACACCGGUGGCGAAGGCGGCUCACUGGCUCAUUUCUGACGCUCAGGCGCGACAGCGUGGGGAUCAAACAGG